GCGUGAAGCCCCCUCCAAGAUGAGACCUCCCAUUGGCGACAAGUAAGGCCCCUCGAAGACGACGAGGUUGAUAGGCCGCGAGUGCAAGCGCAGCGAUGUGCUUAGCGGGGCGGUACUAAUAGGCCGAGGACUUGGCCAA
rnacentral:rRNA from 1 species